rnacentral:rRNA from 1 species
GACGAACGCUGGCGGCGUGCUUAACACAUGCAAGUCGAACGGAAAGGCCCUGCUUUUGUGGGGUGCUCGAGUGGCGAACGGGUGAGUAACACGUGAGUAACCUGCCCUUGACUUUGGGAUAACUUCAGGAAACUGGGGCUAAUACCGGAUAGGAGCUCCUGCUGCAUGGUGGGGGUUGGAAAGUUUCGGCGGUUGGGGAUGGACUCGCGGCUUAUCAGCUUGUUGGUGGGGUAGUGGCUUACCAAGGCUUUGACGGGUAGCCGGCCUGAGAGGGUGACCGGCCACAUUGGGACUAAGAUACGGCCCAGACUCCUACGGGAGGCAGCAGUGGGGAAUAUUGCACAAUGGGCGGAAGCCUGAUGCAGCAACGCCGCGGGCGGGAUGACGACCUUCGGGUUGUAAACCGCUUUCGCCUGUGACGAAGCGUGAGUGACGGUAAUGGGUAAAGAAGCACCGGCUAACUACGUG